UCCCUGGUGGCUCAGAUGGUAAAGAAUCUGCCUGCAAUGCAGGAGAUCUAGGUUUGAUCCCUGGGUUGGGAA
rfam:Ovis aries breed Texel chromosome 1, whole genome shotgun sequence.